rnacentral:misc_RNA from 1 species
GACGAGUAAUACAACGUAGAUCGACGAAAAAAUACUCAAGUAACUGCGCGUUAUCAAAGAUUACUCAAAAAGUAGUUAUCAAAUCUCAAUGAAAUUUAUAUGUGACCACAUGACAAACAUCAGCUUUCGAUUAAAUUAAAAAUUAUUAAAAUCGGUACACCCAGUAAAAAGUUAUUGCGGAUUUUCAAGAAUUUCCCUCGAUUUCUCUGGGAUCCCAUCAUCAGAUCCUGGUUUCCUUAUCAUGGUACCAAACUAAGGAUACCCCCUUUCCAACAAAAAAA